rnacentral:rRNA from 1 species
CAGCCGCCACGGUAAUACAGAGGGUGCGAGCGUUAAUCGGAUUUACUGGGCGUAAAGCGUGCGUAGGCGGCUUUUUAAGUCGGAUGUGAAAUCCCUGAGCUUAACUUAGGAAUUGCAAUCGAUACUGGGAAGCUAGAGUAUGGGAGAGGAUGGUAGAAUUCCAGGUGUAGCGGUGAAAUGCGUAGAGAUCUGGAGGAAUACCGAUGGCGAAGGCAGCCAUCUGGCCUAAUACUGACGCUGAGGUACGAAAGCAUGGGGAGCAAACAGGAUUAGAUACCCCCGUAGUCCCUGUCUCUUAUAU